GGAUGCCUCGGUAGCUCAGUGGGUUAGGUUAAGCAUCUGCCUUCAGCUCAGAUCAUGAUCCCAGGGUCCUGGGAUCGAGUCCCACAUCAGGCUCCC